CAGACAGUAAAGUUGACAAUGAUGCAAAAAAGACAACAAAAAAUGAAAUUCUACAAGAAGAAGAUGAAAAGAGUACAGACAGUAAAGUUGACAAGGAUGCAAAAAAGACAA
rnacentral:lncRNA from 1 species